rnacentral:rRNA from 1 species
AGCGGCGUGCCUAAGGUAUGCAAGUCGAACGGGGGGAGCAAUCCCCUAGUGGCGAACGGUCGAGUAACACGUANACAACCUGCCUCCCAGUGGGGGAUACCAGUCCGAAAGGGCUGCUAAUACCGCAUGUGGCGGGGAGCGGCAUCGCUUCCUGGCUAAAGGCGCAAGUCGCUGGGAGAUGGGUCUGCGGCCUAUCAGCUAGCUGGUGAGGUAAUGGCUCACCACGGCGACGACGGGUAGCGGGUCUGAGAAGAUGAUCCGCCGGACGGGGACUGAGACACGGNCCCCACUCCUUCGGGAGGCAGCAAUGAGGAAUAUUGCGCAAUGGGCGAAAGCCUGACGCAGCGACGCCGCGUGGGUGAGGAANUCCUUCGGGAUGUUAAGCCCUUUUUUCGGGGACGAUCCC